ACGGCCACCAAGGCGACGAUCAGUAGCCGACCUGAGAGGGUGACCGGCCACAUUGGGACUGAGACACGGCCCAAACUCCUACGGGAGGCAGCAUG
rnacentral:rRNA from 1 species